GCCCUCUCUACAUAAUCAUUCCAACACAAGAACAUAAUCAAAGAGUACAUAAAAAUAAAUGAAACUCAAGUCAAGGUGAAAAUGCUAGAAAACAUAGUGUUAGACACUAAGCAUUAGUAGUUUGAUUAGUUACAUUGAUGAGGCACAGAUGCAUACAUGGAAACUUCAAAAUUAACAUUCAAUCCAUGCAGGACACAUAUUUUA
rnacentral:misc_RNA from 1 species